AUUUUAUUCUUCAAUGUCCCU
rnacentral:piRNA from 1 species